rnacentral:rRNA from 1 species
GGACCCGCACAAGUAGUGGAGCAUGUGGUUUAAUUCGAAGAUACGCGCAGAACCUUACCAACACUUGACAUGUUCGUCGCGACUUUAAGAGAUUAAAGUUUUCGGUUCGGCCGGACGAAACACAGGUGCUGCAUGGCUGUCGUCAGCUCGUGUCGUGAGAUGUUGGGUUAAGUCCCGCAACGAGCGCAACCCUCACUUUUAGUUGCCAUCAUUUAGUUGGGCACUCUGAAAGAACUGCCAGUGAUAAGCUGGAGGAAGGUGGGGAUGACGUCAAGUCCUCAUGGCCCUUACGUGUUGGGCUACACACGUGCUACAAUGGUGGUGACAAUGGGUUAAUCCCAAAAAGCCAUCUCAGUUCGGAUUGGGGUCUGCAACUCGACCCAUGAAGUCGGAAUCGCUAGUAAUCGCGUAACAGCGGUGAAUUCGUACUCGA